rnacentral:rRNA from 1 species
GUGCCAGCAGCCGCGGUAAUACCGGCAGCCCGAGUGAUGGCCGAUAUUAUUGGGCCUAAAGCGUCCGUAGCUGGCCGGACAAGUCCGUUGGGAAAUCCACCCGCUUAACGGGUGGGCGUCCAGCGGAAACUGUCCGGCUUGGAGCCGGAAGACCUGAGGGGUACGUCCGGGGUAGGAGUGAAAUCCCGUAAUCCUGGACGGACCGCCGGUGGCGAAAGCACUUCGAGAAAACGGAUCCGACAGUGAGGGACGAAAGCCAGGGUCUCCAACCGGAUUAGAAACCCGUGUAGUCC